CCGAGCUUACAACUCCCAAACCCCGUGUGAACGCUACCGAACCGUUGCCUCGGCGGGAUCUCAGCCCCGGGCGCGUCGCAGCCCCGGACCAAGGCGCCCGCCGGAGGACCGACCCCGAAACUCUUGCCGCAACGACCCCCUCGCGGGUCUCGCCUCCCACCGUCUGAGCCACCUCGGCGCCCCUCGCGGGCGUUCCGAAAAACGAAUCA
rnacentral:misc_RNA from 1 species